CUGGCUCAGGACGAACGCUGGCGGCGUGCCUAAUACAUGCAAGUCGAACGGUCUUUCUAUGGAAGCUUGCUUCCACUGAGAAGAUAGUGGCGAACGGGUGAGUAACACGUGGGUAACCUGCCCAUAAGAGGGGGAUAACAUCCGGAAACGGGUGCUAAUACCGCAUAGUUUUCUUGAUCGCAUGAUCGGGAAAGGAAAGACGGCCUUUGUGCUGUCGCUUAUGGAUGGACCCGCGGCGUAUUAGUUAGUUGGUGAGGUAACGGCUCACCAAGACGAUGAUACGUAGCCGACCUGAGAGGGUGAUCGGCCACAUUGGGACUGAGACACGGCCCAAACUCCUACGGGAGGCAGCAGUAGGGAAUCUUCCGCAAUGGACGAAAGUCUGACGGAGCAACGCCGCGUGAGUGAAGAAAGGUUUUCGGAUCGUAAAACUCUGUUGUCAGAGAAGAACAAGUUGGAGAGUAACUGCUCCAGCCUUGACGGUAUCUGACCAGAAAGCCACGGCUAACUACGUGCCAGCCGCAGC
rnacentral:rRNA from 1 species